rnacentral:rRNA from 1 species
CCUACGGGAGGCAGCAGUAGGGAAUAUUGCUCAAUGGGGGAAACCCUGAAGCAGCAACGCCGCGUGGAGGAUGAAGGUUUUCGGAUUGUAAACACCUUUUGUUAGAGAAGAUAAUGACGGUAUCUAACGAAUAAGCACCGGCUAACUCCGUGCCAGCAGCCGCGGUCAUACGGAGGGUGCAAGCGUUACUCGGAAUCACUGGGCGUAAAGAGCGCGUAGGCGGGAUAGCAAGUCAGAUGUGAAAUCCUAUGGCUUAACCAUAGAACUGCAUUUGAAACUGUUAUUCUAGAGUAUGGGAGAGGUAGGUGGAAUUCUUGGUGUAGGGGUAAAAUCCGUAGAGAUCAAGAGGAAUACUCAUUGCGAAGGCGACCUGCUAGAACAUAACUGACGCUGAUGCGCGAAAGCGUGGGGAGCAAACAGGAUUAGAUACCCCAGUAGUC